GACGAACGCUGGCGGCGUGCCUAAUACAUGCAAGUAGAACGCUGAAGGAGGAGCUUGCUUCUCUGGAUGAGUUGCGAACGGGUGAGUAACGCGUAGGUAACCUGCCUGGUAGCGGGGGAUAACUAUUGGAAACGAUAGCUAAUACCGCAUAAUAUUGACUAUUGCAUGAUAGUCAGUUGAAAGGUGCAACUGCACCACUACCAGAUGGACCUGCGUUGUAUUAGCUAGUUGGUGGGGUAACGGCUCACCAAGGCGACGAUACAUAGCCGACCUGAGAGGGUGAUCGGCCACACUGGGACUGAGACACGGCCCAGACUCCUACGGGAGGCAGCAGGAGGGAAUCUUCGGCAAUGGACGGAAGUCUGACCGAGCAACGCCGCGUGAGUGGAGAAGGUUGUCGGAUCGUAAAGCUCGGUUGUAAGAGAAGAACGAGUGUGAGAGUGGAAAGCUCACACUGUGACGGUAGCUUACCAGAAAGGGACGGCUAACUACGUG
rnacentral:rRNA from 1 species